AGUUGUGAGGGUGACCUGGCUGCAACAUCUGUCACCCCAUUGAUCGCCAGUGUUGAUCCACUGAUGUGGCUGGCUGGGUGUGGAUGUUCCCUCCCCCACUCACCACUUCAUGUGUGUCCUCCCUAAGGUGCGAGCUCCAAGCUCCAAGGAAGAGGACGACCACCCUGGUAGUGCAGGCCCACUUCCUUAGGGGUCAAAGGUAAACAAGUAGCUGUGCACCCCUGCUAGAACCACCAAAAAGCUCUCAAAAAAAAAGGAGGCCAAAUAUAGAACUAAGGAUUGAACUCAGGCCCUUGUGCCUGCCAGGGAAGCUCUUGUCU
rnacentral:snRNA from 1 species